AAACCAGCACCUCAAGUGGUCAGGAUGAUUAUUGGGCCUAAAGCAUCCGUAGCCGGCUCAGUAAGUUUUCGGUUAAAUCUGUACGCUCAACGUACAGGCUGCUGGGAAUACUGCAGAGCUAGGGAGUGGGAGAGGUAGACGGUACUCGGGAGGAAGUGGUAAAAUGCUUUGAUCUCUCGAUGACCACCUGUGGCGAAGGCGGUCUACCAGAACACGUCCGACGGUGAGGGAUGAAAGCUAGGGGAGCAAACCGGAUUAGAAACCCCAGUAGUCC
rnacentral:rRNA from 1 species